CUAAAUAGGAUUCCCUUAGUAAUGGCGAACGAACCAGGGAUGAGCUCGGCUUGGAAACUGGGGCCUUGGCCUUGGAUUGUAGCCUCUAGACAUAGUGCCAACGGAGGCGCAGGUGCAAGCCUCUUGGAAAAGAGCAUCAAUGUGGGUGAGAAUCCUGUGUUUCACUUGCAGUCCACCGUGCACGGCACAUGUUCUCAGAGUCGCGUUCCUCGGAAUUGGAGCGUAAAGUGGGUGGUAAAUUUCAUCUAAAGCUAAAUAUAGGCUUGAGACCGAUAGCAAACAAGUACCAUGAGGGAAAGAUGAAAAGGACUUUGAAAAGAGAGUUAAAAGUGCUUGAAAUCGCUGAAAGGGAAGCGAAUGGAACCAGUCUUCUGGCUGAGAUUGCUGCAUGCUACUGUGAUGCCUGGCUGCUUCAACGCAAGUGUUGUAGUUAGAGUUGAUCAGCUGCGUGUGGUGUUUCUCAGCUUGUUAGUCAACCUCUGUUUGCGCUUGGGGAUAGCCUCAGGUACACGUCGCUUCUCUGCGGAGUUGCUCCUGUGCUUGUAGGGACUCAGGUGCAUACUUUUGGUGACAAAAUGGUUCUCUUCGACCCGUCUUGAAACACGGACCAAGGAGUCUAGCACAUGUGCAAGUUCACAGGUGGCAAGCCUGCUUGCGCAAUGAAGGUGACUGCUGGGAUAUUUGCACCAGCAUCCGACCAAUCAAUCGAG
rnacentral:rRNA from 1 species